rnacentral:ncRNA from 1 species
ACAAUGGAGAGUUUGAUCCUGGCUCAGGAUGAACGCUAGCGGCAGGCCUAAUACAUGCAAGUCGAACGGGCGCAGCAAUGCGUCAGUGGCGCACGGGUGCGUAACGCGUAGGCAAUCUGCCUACACCUGGGGGAUAGCCCGCCGAAAGGUGGAUUAAUACCGCAUGACACCGCGGGCCGGCAUCGGCUGGCGGUUAAAGAAUUUCGGGUGUAGAUGAGCCUGCGUGCCAUUAGCUAGUUGGCGGGGUAAGGGCCCACCAAGGCGACGAUGGCUAGGGGAGCUGAGAGGCCGAUCCCCCACACUGGCACUGAGAUACGGGCCAGACUCCUACGGGAGGCAGCAGUAGGGAAUAUUGGGCAAUGGGAGCAAUCCUGACCCAGCCAUGCCGCGUGCCGGAUGAAGGCCUUCUGGGUUGUAAACGGCUUUUGACCGGGAAGAAAAAGCCCCUGCGGGGGAAACCGACGGUACCGGUUGAAUAAGCACCGGCUAACUCCGUGCCAGCAGCCGCGGUAAUACGGAGGGUGCGAGCGUUGUCCGGAUUUAUUGGGUUUAAAGGGUGCGUAGGCGGCCCCGCAAGUCCGUGGUGAAAGCCUCUUGCUCAACAAGAGAACUGCCAUGGAUACUACGGGGCUUGAGUCCAGACGAGGUUGGCGGAAUGGACGGUGUAGCGGUGAAAUGCAUAGAUACCGUCCAGAACCCCGAUUGCGUAGGC